rnacentral:rRNA from 1 species
CCUACGGGAGGCAGCAGUGGGGAAUAUUGGUCAAUGGCCGAGAGGCUGAACCAGCCAAGUCGCGUGAGGGAAGACGGCCCUACGGGUUGUAAACCUCUUUUGUCGGGGAGCAAAGCGAGUCACGUGUGACUCAUUGAGAGUACCCGAAGAAAAAGCAUCGGCUAACUCCGUGCCAGCAGCCGCGGUAAUACGGAGGAUGCGAGCGUUAUCCGGGUUUAUUGGGUUUAAAGGGUGCGCAGGCGGAGGUGGAAGUCAGCGGUCAAAUUGCGGGGCUCAACCCCGUACUGCCGUUGAAACUGCAUGCCUUGAGUGGGCGAGAAGUAUGCGGAAGGCGUGGUGUAGCGGUGAAAUGCAUAGAUAUCACGCAGAACCCCGAUUGCGAAGGCAGCAUACCGGCGCGAAACUGACGCUCAUGCACGAAAGCGUGGGUAUCGAACAGGAUUAGAUACCCGAGUAGUC